rnacentral:lncRNA from 1 species
UUCAGUUUUGCCAAUUUUAUUGAACCAAUAAAAUUCCUACUAAUAACAAUGAAAUAAAUUUCUGCAAGUAUAAAUGUGAUACAGUUUAACAAAACCCAUUGUUCUGUACCUAUAAAUAGAUUUUCAAAAUGUCAUAAAAAGUGCAGUUAUGAAUUGUUAACAUGUUAAUACACAGUUGCUUUAUUUCAAAUGUGUUUGCCUUGACUCACCAACAGUUCCUUCUGUAGCUGUUCAAAUAAUAUUACCCAUCCCUCCAAAAAAAAAAAAAAGAGGCAUUAAAGCACUAGAAUAUUACACAUAAACUGAUCCAUUGAGGUCAGCUUUAGUCAGAAUUGUAAAAUCAGCAACAUAAGAAAAAUAAAACCUAGUUAUACAUACAAAAAGCUUUCAUGGGUUCUAUACUCUUCUUAACUGCUGACUCAUGUGGAGGGCAUAAUAGUUGAAAAGGCUUAUAUGGUUAACUAACUUAGACUACAUCUACAGCAGGGUCUGAUUUGCCAGAACAAGUUUAAAGUGGCUGUUUAUCAAGUUUGUUGUCUUCAGAAUUGAAGCUAUAAAUGUAAGAUCGCCAUUUGACACUGAAAAUCGUGUGAAUCCUAAAUUGCAUCAAUGAUCUAUUUGAUAAAAGCUUAUUCUAAUUGAAACCUUAUAUAGUAAGAGACUGAUAGAUAUAUAGCAGUCUUAAAGAUCACGUCAUCCGCCUCACGUUAGUCCAAAGUCACGUGCUUCGUAAAAAAGAAAAAAAUUACAGUAACAAAGCACAGGACGACAAAGGCAAAACAUCACAGCUUCUGAUUACAUGG